AUACGGAGGGUGCGAGCGUUGUUCGGAAUUAUUGGGCGUAAAGAGCAUGUAGGCGGUCUGUUAAGUCUGGUGUGAAAGCCCGGGGCUCAACCCCGGAAGUGCAUUGGAUAUUGGCAGACUUGAGUAUGGGAGAGGAAAGCGGAAUUCCGAGUGUAGGAGUGAAAUCCGUAGAUAUUCGGAGGAACACCAGUGGCGAAGGCGGCUUUCUGGACCAAUACUGACGCUGAGAUGCGAAAGCGUGGGGAGCAAACAGGAUUAGAAACCCUAGUAGUCC
rnacentral:rRNA from 1 species